GUAUUUUGGCCUUAGUCGAAAUUUUUCCUUUCUGACUUAAAACGUCAUGCCUCUUUCCUUAAAGUUAAUAAUACUAAUACUCAGGUUUUCAAGGCUAACUAACAACCACAUGAAGUGGGAGUCUAAGAAGGCAGCUGUUAAUAAAUUCUUGUUCCUUUUAUCUGGCGACAGUAUGUUAUUGGUGGGAUAGUGUAAUAUUGUGAGAAUGCUUAUGUUUGAUAAUGAAUAAAUUCGAGACAUUUGAAGAUGUCACUGGCUGUUUGGAAUGGGAAUACUCGUUUACAAAAUGCAAAAAGUAGAUUUCUACAGAAAUAAGUAACAAGAGUUUCUUGUUGUGUGAAAUCUUUUUGCUUUGGUAUGCCUUGAUAGUCCCCAAACCUAGAAGUUUGCCUCUUUUAGGUAGUAACUGGCUACCUAAUGUAACCACUUUGAAUCUGUGGCUUUUCUCCUGGGAAUCUCAGGCAGUACAGCAGUGGGGAGUGGGGGAGGGGGGGUGCUCACACCUGAGGAGCCACAUCCCUGAGACAGACUCUUGGCUUGUUUCAUGUCUUUGUAUGUAGGAGACGUUUGGCACAAGUAUCAAAGGGCCUUUGCCCCUGAGAAGUGUCUCCUCCACUUUCUAGUUUCACACUAUUUGAGCUUCCCUGGUGAGAUCAGGGAUGUCACAAAUUACUUGAAAAUGAUUUUGGGGAUGGGGCAAGAAGGGGUAGGAGCUGAAUUUUGCUUAACUUUGGAAGGAAAUCUGGAACUUGCAUUGUUGGUUUUGAUCAACCAAAGAGCCUGUCUCUAUAGCGGAUGUGCCAAAGAAUCAAGUUGUUUCUAAACAUCCAGCUCCUCUGAACAAACACAGCUUCCUUCUUACCUGACUUCUACAGGUGAAAAGGGACCGUGUGAUCACAAGGCCAGAGACACCAACUCACAUUCUGCAUAGGACUUGAGGCUGCGUUUAAUUGCAUUCAAAAGUUGGUGGGAAAUAUUUUGUUCUUUUAGAAGCUCUAGCCUAUCCUAGAAAUAUCUUUUCUGUGCUUCUUUAUUCAACUCAUUAGACUUGUUCCAAAAGUAAAAAAGAAAGAAACUGUGUGGCAUAGUUUUAGUGUUUACUGCUGAAGUUGUAUCCCCAACCAUAUAUAUGCAGCCUCUGAAAAUCAGAUGAAUUCUUCUCAAUCUUCCGUAAGUUUGAAUAUGCCUCUUCCUCUUGACAGUGGACAGUAUGAUUCCGCUCCACCAGCAGUACUGGCUUUGUCCACAAGGGAGCAACAAAAUAGGUUAGCUUCUUUAUUCUCACCUUCUAAAGAAAGAUCCCGCUUUUAAGUCUCUUAUAGAAUAUUCUCUCGAGGCUCAAUAUUUAUUUAUAGAUCUUGGUUUUUAAGACAUUUUCCCUUAUUACUAAGUGCUCAGCCUUCAUGGUGGAAACAAAGGUUGAUAUGUGGGUCAGAGGUCCUUGUGGGUCAGGCAUCUGAAUUAGCCUUUUUACAUAUGGGUGCCAGAGAUUGAAAGCCAGAACCUUCCCAUGGGGGAUCCGUUGUGUGCUAAAUGCAGAGCAGGAAGGCCACCCUCCUUACUUCUUUUCUCCCAAAUCCCACCACCAGCGCAGGGCCGUUACAUCUCUGAGAAGGACAAGAGCGGCAGGGGUAACUCUGGAGUAUGAAUGAGGAAGUGCUUCUUACCUUCUCUGCUCCAAGCAGAUGUCCGUUAGAGCAGGGACCAAGUCAGCGGGGUCAGCCCUGUGUCCUGACCUGUAGGGAGUCCCCUGCAGCAGCCACUCCUCCCGGUUAGAAUUCAGUUUGUGUUCCCUCUGUGUCAGUUACUUGUCUUAGGGCUCCUAACCCUCAUCAGCUCUCUGACCACAAGUUUUGUUUGUGUUCAUAGCAGCACCUUCCUCACAAGAAGCAGGUCAGUAGUCAACUUAGAGGAAACACCAGACCCUAACUAUUUAGCCCGUAGAGCCAGGAGGCAUUUGCACCUGGAAUGGCCUUGAGAACAGAUACCUGCCUGGCCCUUCUUCCCCAGCCAAGUCUGACCCUGAGCAAUACAGACAGAUAGAGGCAUCCACUUGUAACCCCAGCACUUGGCGAAAAACAAAACUGAAGCUGGGAUUGAUUGGUUUAGGUAACAGGGGGCCAGGUGUAACUUGUUUGUCUUUAUUUUUGUUUUCCCCAACAGUACUGAAAUCACUUGCACUUUUCCUCAUUUCUUAAAGAAAAAAUCCAGUUUGCUUGCCAGGAAUUGUUCAGCGUUAGGUUUACAAAGCUUGUUGUUGAAUGUUGAACAUUUGUCCAAAGGAGUUUGACGAAACAGAAGCUGCUCGGUCCCUGUUCUGCCUGCUAGGUCGUAAGGAUUAAGGCCAUGUAGCUGGGGUACUUGUGUCAAGUCCAGAAGAGGGCAGUGUCCCUCUCCUACCUCUGUGAGGAUGCAAUUGAAGGUGAAGUUGGACUCAUGUAGGACAGGUACCUCUCAUGCUGCAAAGAAGUUUAGAGGAGUCUUUCAGUUGGGGAGGUGACAGGUAAUAGGACAGGAUCUCUCGUAAGAUGGGAAAGAUACUGGGGAGAGGAGAGCUGCUUGGCCCCAGGGAACCGUAGUGAGGGGGAACCAGGCUUCCCUCCUGAGUCUCCAAACUUGCCCAGCUUCCCUGAGUCCUCUGUAUUCCAGCAUCCUGUCAGAUCCCUCAGUGUACUGAUUUUUCCCCCCUUGUGUUAACUAUACCAAUAUUAUUUUUUUAGCAAUUGAAAUGCACUUUUUAAUUUCAACUCAAUCAUGAUUUUAAGUAUAAAAAAUUUAUAGACUGUUAAAACUACUUUUUUGUGUAUUUUUAACCACUUGAUGUAGCAUUGUUUAUUUUAUUCUUAUGAGACUCUGGUACAAGGUGUGCCACUUCAUGAUAUUUCUGAGAUGCUGGGCCUUUGGAUGUGUACGGUAACCAACUUAAUGCUAAUGUUCACAGUAAAAAAAAAAAAGAAAAAAAUAGUCAUAUCCAUUGUGUGUAUUUGUUCACUUCAUUUCUUCCUUCCUUAUCCUCAGGUGACAGUCCUCAUAAUAGGCUGCCCAGCCCACCAAUCCUGCUGACCUCUUUAUGAAGGGCAACAUGUUUUCAAGGCUGCUGGCCAAAGUUAGAGUGAUUAGUUCUCUUUUAUUCUGUGCUGCCUGGCUCAGUGCUGACUGGUUUCAGUAACACUACUCUGUCUAGCUGAAUGAUAAUCUGAACAGAUCCUAGAAGACAGUAUUUGAAAAAAAGGAUCAUGAUUGGGUUCUGAAUCAGUUUGAAGAAAAAGAAGACAGACGGAAAGCGCUUACAAAGUACACUCGGUGAAAAGCAAUGAUUAUAAAAUGUGGUACUUGGCUGAGGCUCCUUUUCCUUCCCCUAUUCCCAUUAAUUCGUGCACUCAUUUGUUUACUCCACAAAUGUUUAUGGAGCGCCUAACACGUAUUGGGCCCUGACCUGGCCACCGGGGGUUCAGCCGUGAACAAGACACAGUCCCUGCUCUCAUGGAGCCCGUGUUCCAGUGGAGGAAACCUGACAACAAACAAUCCCUAUUCAGCAACUGUGAACUUGGAGAGGAAGGAGGGUUUCCUCAUGUCCACAGCUGAUUUCGUCAAGAACACCACCGUUUCAGAAUUCCCCUCCACCCAGACUUCUGGCCUGCUCUUCUGUGUUCCCAGCCUUAUUCCUGAACUUCCUGGGUUAGCAGAUGGAGAAAACAAUGAUUGCAGUGGAUGCUGUGGUGUGCUUCCCAGAUUCUCCCCUCUUCAGGGUCGAGGCACUCAUUCUCCCAGCUGCUCCAGAGCAUUUGUGCUGACAGCUCUCAGCUGAGUCUCUCUCCAGGAAUUGCUCUCAGCUGAAGACAGCCACCUGCCCCAAAGUCACACCUCCUCCCCUCCCCAAGGGCAGCCCACAUCCAAUGACUAGUUGGCACAGAGUUCCCGAGGCUACAAAACCAAGAUCAAGGUGUCAACGGGGUUGGUUCCUUCUGAAGACUGAUCAUCUAUCUGUUCCAUGCCUCUCUCCUAACUUCUAGAGGGUUACUGGCAAUCUCUGGAGUUCCGUGGCUCAUAGAAGCAUCACCCUGAUCUCUACCUCCAUCUUCUCAUGGCAUCUCCAAAACAGACAGGACCUAGGGGAUUACAAUGGACCACGGCGGACUUCCCUGGCGGUGCAGUGGUUAAGACUCCACGCUCCCAGUGCAGGGGGCUCGGUUCAAUCCCUGGUUGGGGCAGAUCCCACAUGCUGCGUGGCACAGCAGAAAAGGAAAAAAAGAAAAGGACCACUGCAAACUCAACGAAUGGUAGCCCCAUUGAAACUGCUGUGCCAGAUGUAGUAUCUUUGCUAAAGAACAGCUUCUGGAAUGCCACUGAACCCUGGUAUAAACAGAACACCUGACCACGGCCAUCAGUGUUCAUGCAGCCAGAACUUCCUAUCAUGAGCUCGAUUCUGUCAGACUCAUCAGUUGAACUUGAGCAAAGACAGAGGGCACAAGUAAGACGUACAAGUAAGCUACACAAGCACGUGGCCCAGACCCCCAUGUCUCCCACCACACAGGUACCUCUCCACUAGUUAUCCAUGUUUGGUGGAUACAUGGGAGUGGGGAGGGGCACUUUAUGAUCAUCUGAAGGAAGAGGGGGAAAAAAGGAGAGCUUGGUUCACAAAUGGGUUGGCUUGCUGGACACACGCUGGGAACAGACUCGUGCUGCACUGCAACCCUCUCUGGGUCGUCCCAAGGAACAGCAGUGAGGGAGGAUCCUCCCGUGGGCAGAGCUUCGGCGGAGCACCCAGACAUCCACUGCAUGUGGAAAGAGAAGCAGCCUGAGGGAGCCACAUCUUUCUGCCCAGGUCGGCACCACAAGGAGAAUGAAUAGAACGAUGUACUGGCGGAUGAUGUGACAUGUUUGGGUUGGGUCUGUGAAGACCCACACCCGCUGUCUUGAGUGAAAAGAACAGGGCCCUUUUCAAAGGAUUUGGUUUUUUCCACCUCUUUGUGAUCCGAGUUACCAGACCGUACGGAAGGGUCAAGGGGAGAGCUGGGGACUUCAGCUCAGGAGACCAACAUCUGAAGCAUCAUCUGAGACCAACAUCUGAGCAUCUGAAACCUCCACCGUACUCGGGGACCCAUUCUAGUGAAUCCAGAGAGCGGCGCCAUCAAUUGAAUCACAGCUUGUGGGCCCGACAGGAGAGCAGGAUCCAUCAAGGCCGCCUGGCCAGCAACUGGCAGAACUGUCUAUAGCCCCUCUGCCUCUUCCACCUUCCUCCAGACCAGCCCUGUCACCGCCACCCGGCCCCUCUGCCUGGCCCUGAUCUCACCCUCCACGUGCUCACGCAGGCCUGGGCCCCAGGCGCGGGCUCUCCUCCUCCACUUUCACUCCUGUGUUUUAGACUGAUGGGCAGGACAGUCACCAGGAGACACUGUUUUCCACGUGACAGGGGAUAAAGUUAGCCUGGUGGGCUUCAGUUUCAAGAGUCUGAGUUCCCUAGGUCUAAACUCCACGUUUCACAGUGCUUGGAGUCUCAGCCCUCAUUUUACAGGUGAGGAAACUGAUUCCUGGAGAGAAGUCACCAAUCAAGGCCACACUGCAAGCUCAUGGCAGAGCUGAGGCUGCAUCCUUCGGAAAGUCAGUCCCAGGACCUCCUUGUAGCACUCCUUUCUCAUCCUUACACUUGCGUGUUGGUAUCUCUCUUAUUUCAGUCUUUCAAAAUAAUAUAAAAAUUCUAAUUCAUUCAUAUUUUAAAGGAGGGGAAGCAAU